GCAGCUGAAAACAGGUUGUCAUACAUUGAUAAGGAGAUCAGGUAAGAUUAUCUAAUCUAAGAAAAUUCUGGGGAAAAAAUCAGGUGUUUCUUUAAAUGUGUCGCGACAGCAACUGGGAUAAAAGCCUAACCCUAAUGUGUGUGUUUGUGUUUAAGUGAGGAGCCACCUGCUGCUGUGGGCGAGGACGAUGACGACGACAUCGAAAGAGAUCAAAGCAGUCCAUCUCCCACAGCUGCUCCACCAGGUGUGAUCCUGGUUCGGCCCGCUGCAGCCGAGAAUUCGCUGCAGCUGGAAGACGAGGAGAGAGCAACCAGACUGCCGGUUGGACUGAAUAAGACGUACUCUGUGAAAAGGACGGACAGAGAGACAACGGCCAGGACACGUGACGGCAACGGGACCCAGAAGAAGACAGAGAAGAAGAAGAAGAACUGCUUCCGCCGCUUCGUCUCCUGGAUGAAGAAGACCUUCAGCUCCUGCUGCGCUGCCGCAGAGGACCAUGAUGAUGACGACGAGCACUAUGGGCUCAGCAGGAGGUGUUGAUCCUCCUCCUGUCUAUGGAGAAUCUGUUCUCUCCUGGUGACAGUGUGGGUUUUCUCCGGGUGCUCCGGUUUCUCCCACACUGUUACAUUUUACCCUCUGAAAACUAACAUCCCGCCGCUGGGACUAGGUUUUCUUUAAAAAAAAAAAUUGCCGAAAACACAGCGUUUACUGUCCGAGUUUCCGACGGUCCUUGAAUAUUUGGGUUACUAAUGUUUCCGUUAGAAAAAGUAACCUAAAGGAACUUGAAAUAGUUCUCUCCUAGUGACUGUGUGGGUUUCCUCCGGGUGCUCCGGUUUCUCCCACACUGUUAACACAUUUUACCCUCUGAAAACCAACAUCCCGCCGCUGGGACUAGGUUUUCUUAAAAAAAAAAUUUUUUUAAAUCGCCCAAAACACAGCCUUUUCCGAGUUUCCGACAGUCUUCGAACAUAUAGGUUACAAAUGUUUCCGUUAGAAAAAGUAACCUAAAGGAACUUAAAAUAGUUCUCUCCCAGUGACUGUGUGGGUUUCCUCCGGGUGCUCCGGUUUCUCCCACACUGUUAACACAUUUUACCCUCCGAAAACCAACAUCCUGCCGCUUGGACUAGGUUUUCUUAAAAAAAAAAAAAUUGCCGAAAACACAGCGUUUACUGUCCAAGUUUCCGACGGUCCUUGAAUAUUUAGGUUACUAAUGUCUCCGUUAGAAAAAGUAACCUAAAGGAACUUAAAACAUUUCUCUCGCGGUGACUGUGUGGGUUUCCUCCAGGUGCUCCGGUUUCUCCCACACUGUUAACACAUUUUACCCUCUCAAAAAACCAACAUCCCGCUGCUGGGACUAGGUUUUCUUUUUUUUUUUUUUAUGGCAGAAAACACAGCGUUUAACGUAGAAAGAAAUAGUUAGAAACAGGCACUACUGUCCCAAGUUUCCGAUGGUCCUCGAAUAUUUAGGUUACGAAUGUUUCCGUUAGCAAAAGGAUCUUAAAACAGUUCUCUCCCGGUGACAGUGUGGGUUUUCUCCGGGUGCUCCGGUUUCUCCCACACUGUUAACACAUUUUACCCUCUGAAAACCAACAUCCCGCCGCUGGGACUAGGUUUUCUUAAAAAAAAAAAAAAAAAUGCCGAAAACACAGCGUUUAACGUACAAAGAAAUAGUAAAAACAGGCAAUACUGUCCGAUUUUCCAACGGUCCUCGAAUAUUUAGGUUACGAAUGUUUCCGUGAGAAAAAGUAACCAAAAGGAAUUUAAAGGAACACUACACCGUUUUUUCAUAUUAAAACAUGUUAUUCGGGUAAGUAAGACGAGUUGAUACAGACCUCUUGCGUCUCAAUGCGUGCACUCAAUCGCCUUGGCGCGCGGAGCUACUUGGCUAGCACUUAGCUUAGCCCAGUUCAUUCAUUAGGAUCCACACAGAUGGACAGUUAGAAGCGACCAAACUCCUCCACGUUUUCCCUAUUUAAAUACAGCUACACGAGUAGUUAAACGACCAAGUAUGGCGACACAAAAGAAAACGUGGCGCUUUUCGAAGCGGAUAAAAAGGAUAACUAUAAUGUAUGGAGGAAUAGCACUUGGGAGCACUUCGACUCGGCGCAGUAAUAUCAUCACUCCUGACGGAAGUGAGAGGGAGCGGAAGUGAUGAUAUUACUGCGCCGAGUCGAAGUGCUCCCAAGUGCUAUUCCGCCAUACAUUAUAGUUAUCCUUUUUAUCCGCUUCGAAAAGCGCCACGUUUUAUUUUGUGUCGCCAUACUUGGUCGUUUAACUACUCGUGUAGCUGUAUUUAAAUAGGGAAAACGUGGAGGAGUUUGGUCGCUUCUAACUGUCCAUCUGUGUGGAUCCUAAUGAAUGAACUGGGCUAAGCUAAGUGCUAGCCAAGUAGCUCCGCGCGCCAGGGCGAUUGAGUGCACACAUUGAGACGCAAGAGGUCUGUAUCAACUCGUCUUACUUACCCGAAUAACAUGUUUUAAUAUGAAAAAAC